UAUCGGUUCCAUGGAGCGUCACGGCGGAGGGAGAGUGUCUCAAAAAACGAAAAUAUAAAAUGCAUUUCACCACAGAUUACACAAAAACGUGUCCUUGUUUAAUAAGGAUGACAAAUAAUGACAAUGUUACGCGCUGAACUGUUUGCAACAGUGAUUUCAGCAUUGCUCAUGACGGUUUAAACGACUGUAAAAGGUACGUCCAGGAAGGCUCACAUCCAACCGAACACCGUGACCCCAGAGCUAAGCUGACAUGUACCCAAACACCCUGAUCGCAGAGUUAUGCUGUCAUCUACUCAGAUGCCCUAAUUCCAAAGGCUCCUUGAUCCCAGUGGUAAGCUGCCGUCUACCGAAACACCCUGAUCACAGAGGCAAAGCACUGUCCGCCCAAACACCCUGAUCCCAGAUGUAGGCUGCCAUCCACGCAAACACAUUGUUCCCAGAAGUAAUCUGCCAUUCACCCAACCAUGCUGAUCCCAGAGGUAAACUACCUUCCAUCUAACCGCCUUGUUCUCUGGGGUAAGCUGACAUUUACCCAAAUACCCUGAUCCCAGAGGCAAGCUGCGGUCCACCCAAACACGCAGGCGCCUCAGGUAAGCUCACAUCCACCCAAAUGCCCUAACCCCAGAGGUAGGCUGCCUGUGACCCAGCCCCCUGACCCCUGAGGUAACCUCGCUUCCACCUAAACACUCUGAUCUCAGAGGCAAGCUGACAUUUGCCCAAACACCCUGAUCACAGAAAUAAGCUGCCAUCCACCUAAACGACCUACCCCCAGAGGUAAGCUGACAUCCAUCUAACUGCCUUGAUCCUAGGCUGCCCCAGUACGUCUAGGUGGUGACAAUCCAUCCUACAGGGUUGACAUGAUGUGCUUUCCUGAAGCACACAAAGGACACCUCGGGUUUUAUGAAGGUGUUAUGACAGUGUUUUAGCCCGACCCUUGUGCAGAGGUCGGAAGUCUGCGG